rnacentral:rRNA from 1 species
UACGAAGGGGGCUAGCGUUGCUCGGAAUUACUGGGCGUAAAGCGCACGUAGGCGGAUUGUUAAGUCAGGGGUGAAAUCCUGGAGCUCAACUCCAGAACUGCCUUUGAUACUGGCGAUCUCGAGUCCGGGAGAGGUGAGUGGAACUGCGAGUGUAGAGGUGAAAUUCGUAGAUAUUCGCAAGAACACCAGUGGCGAAGGCGGCUCACUGGCCCGGUACUGGCGCUGAGGUGCGAAAGCGUGGGGAGCAAACAGG